CCUUUUAAACCUAUUUUCUCACUCAGCCUCCGAAGUCUCUCUCUCUCUCUCUGUGCAGGGAAAAAAUGGCAACUGUAGCACAAACCCAUAUCCACUUCUAUCCUUCAUGUUCCCCCAAACCGAACAAAAACACUUGUUGUGUACCAUAACCAGCUCCAGAACCAAAUGGAAUAGUAAUAGUGCUGUGGCAGCAAUGCAGAGGUUGUGACUAAUGCUGAGGAGCAGACUCUGUGGUGAAUGGUGAUAGAAAAAUUGCUAAGAGACAAGCAGCUGAGCUGUGGUGAAUCCUGAGAACACUUUCUUUUCUGUGAAAAAUGUUUCAUUGGGAAGAGGAAGAUGUCUGAGACUGAGAUGGAUGAGGAUUGAGGAGGCCAAGCAGAUGGACUACUAGCCCAACCACAUUCCGUAUAGUCUCGCCAUUGAGGCUCCUACCUCUGGAUGUGAUGGUCAGUGUAAUCGGGUAUGAAAAGAUUUUGGCAGAAGCUGUGGAAGGCAAAAAUCCCAAAUAAGGUUAGAAACUUCGGCUGGAGAGUGGUCAAAAUAUCAUUCCAACCAAGAUGAAUUUAUUUCAUGGGAAAGUCAUUGAAGAGUGAAGAUCCAACCUGUGAAGAGUGUGGUUUAGGCUCAGAAACUGUCUUGCAUGUACUGUGUCAAUGCACAAAGGCAAGGGAAGUAUGGACCCAUUGUAAUCUGAGUCAUAUGAUAGGGGGCAAGGGGAGUUUACUGAUAUAUUGUGGCAAAGUGGGAUGAAUCCCAAUAAUGGCUCAAACUUGCUGGAUAUUAUACUGAUGAUUGCAUGGUGUAUAUGGAAGAAUAAAAAUGAAGUAAGGCAUGGGGGAAGAAAACACACUGCUGCAGAAAUGUUUGAGACAGCCAUAAGACUAUUGGAUGAAUAUAAUGCAGCACAGGAGGUUCCAGUCCAACACAGGGAAGAUCAGCCAGCUUAGGGUAGGUGGGUUUCUCUUCCAAAUGGAUGGUAUAAGUUGAACACAGAUGGGGCUGUAUUUUCGAAGCAAAGGUGGACUGGUAUUGGUAUUGGUGUGAUAGCAAGGGAUGAUCAAGGACGAGUGGUGGCUGCAAUGAGCAAAACAUUGCAGGUCCCACUAGGAGCACUGGAGAUUGAAGCAAAAGCUGUUGAGGCUGCUGCUAUUUUUCCUAGGGAUAUUGGCAUCCAGGAAGUAAUUUUUGAAAGUGACAGCUUGCUGGUCUGCUUGGCUAUUCAAGGGAAAACAGAGGCUUCACCUGCUAUUGCCAAUGUCAUUUCAGGUACGCUGCAACAUAUGCAAUUUUUCUGCCAAGUUGAAGUUUGUCACACACGAAGAGAAGGGAAUAAAGAAGCACAUGGGCUCACUAAGUAUGCCCAAUUUAUAGAUGACUUUGUAACAUGGAUGGAGGAAACUCCAACUGUUAUAGAUUCUGAAGUAUCUUCAGAUGUAAACCAGUAUUUUCAAUCAUGAAAUGAUAUAAAUUCACUGGUUUCCUAUAAAUAAAUAAAAAAUUA